rnacentral:rRNA from 1 species
GACGGAGGAUGCAAGUGUUAUCCGGAAUCACUGGGCGUAAAGCGUCUGUAGGUGGUUUCAAAAGUCCACUGUUAAAGAUUGAAGCUUAACUUCAAAGGUGCCGUAGAAACUUUUAAACUUGAGUAUGGUAGGGGUAGAGGGAAUUUCCGGUGGAGCGGUGAAAUGCGUAGAGAUCGGAAAGAACACCAACGGCGAAAGCACUCUGCUGGGCCGACACUGACACUGAGAGACGAAAGCUAGGGGAGCGAAUGGG